rnacentral:rRNA from 1 species
UACGAAGGGGACUAGCGUUGUUCGGAAUUACUGGGCGUAAAGCGCACGUAGGCGGAUUUGUAAGUCAGGGGUGAAAUCCUGGAGCUCAACUCCAGAACUGCCUUCGAUACUGGAAAGCUCGAGUCCGGGAGAGGUGAGUGGAAUUCCUGGUGUAGCGGUGAAAUGCGCAGAUAUCAGGAGGAACACCAAUGGCGAAGGCAGCUCGCUGGGACGUGACUGACGCUGAGACGCGAAAGCGUGGGGAGCAAACAGG